GCAAACAGAGAGAGGAGAAGAGAAAAGCAGAGUGAAGAAGAAGCAGAGACAGAGUGAAGCAGGCCUCUUCUGCACUAGGUCAGGCAAGAUCUGCCCUAGGAUGCUGAAUGAGGGAAACUGCCAGACUCUAAAGACAUUCGGAAGACAAAACAGAGGGCUUGCUUUGAUCUGGAACCUGGGAGACGACAGUGUAUCCAUCUUGGUGUUUAGGUAUUGCUUAUUUGUGGAGAAAAAACAAAGCACUUGAUGAAUUCUGAGAAGAGGAGAAGACAUUUUGGCCAAGCUUCAGCUAUUCCUUAUUUGUGGAGGUAAAAUGGAGAGCUUUGAAAUCCGGGGAGGGGAUAGUCGCAAGAAGUAAAGGAUUCACUAGCACCUGUGGGCACAGCCGCAAAACCAGCCAUUGGCACAGAUGGGAAAUUCCCUCAAAUGACACUUCCUCCUCCAGAGUCCUGGAAACCACAGAAGCCCUCCAGUUGAUCCCUCACCAGCCUCCACUGGUGAUAGAAUUGCCAUCCGAAAAAUUCAUAUUAACGGUGCACUUUAGCGCUUAACAAUAGCUUUGGCUCCUGAGUGUAUCUCUGCUUCCUCUUUGGUCUGCCUCAAGGCUUCUGUGUACCGCUUACACUCUCUGGACUUUUCUACAUGCUGUUGUAAGCCUUUGUGCAGUUUCAUGUCCUAUUUAACCCUCUGUGUGCUGCAGGAAUACUGACUGCCAGGCACUCUGUGCCUGCCACCUGCUCUGCUACCAGUGCAGCCAGCCCUGACUGCUGCUGUGCAGCAUGUGGCUAUGGAAUAGCCAAGGCUUAGCCAGGAAUGCCACAGGCCACGCCCCUCAGGCCUAAACUGUUGCGCCACCACUUCACCACUUCCUUUAACCUUGCCUGAGAUCUGGUAAAGCUACAACAACCCCACCCCCUCCUUCUCUCCACCUAUGCCUUCAACACUCACUCCUGUGUCAGCUGCCUCCACUCGGCAAGGCCUAGUCCAGCCUGACCUGAAACAAGGAGUCAAAGCUCAUCAGCCUCUCCAACACUCCUUAACAAUCUGUCACUCCUGUGCCCCUGGGAACUACAGCUUCCUGAGGCCUAGGUCUCAGCCAUAGCAAACUCUUAGGUCCUUCUGGGUCUCUCUGCCAACCCUCCCAUCCCUCAUUUUCACCCUGGAAGUUCUGCAGCUUCCUUAGGCCCCUGUAGGGCUACUGUGACCCUACCCACCUCCACCACUGAGGUCCCAAAGUUUGUUCCAGCUGCACUGACCAACAGUCCUGCCCUCUCCUCAGUGCCAUCACUCCAAAAAACAAACAAACAAACAAACAAACAAACAAAAAUGCUCCUUUCAAUCUGAUGCAGUGCCCUGCCCCCAUUCCUGUCCUGGAAACAAAUUCCCCCACCCAUCUACAGUCUGCCCAUCAGGGCCAGGGCCAUACUUGCCCCCAUGUCAGCUCCACCUCCUCUGUUAUGGUCUUAUAGCUGUGGUCAGCAGCAAUCUAUAAUUUAAUCUCACCUCCCUCAGCCAAGGCCCUUCCAGUUUCCCAAUUUAUUAACCCGUUCCUGUCCUGACACUGCCUACAGCUUAAACUCAGUCCCACAAAAGAAACUGUGAUAUUCUGUAUAUUCUGUAAUGACAAAAGUUUGCUACAUUUAUGAUUUACAGAAAUUGGCCUUAUUCAACCUCCUGCAUGUGUUUUCAAGUUCAGCCUAAAAUCAGGUAUACUUAAUAAAUACUUGCUCCUCAAACUCCUCAUAAUGAAUAUGGCAUUUUAAAUGGUCGAUACAAAACUUCCCACAAUAAAGAGACACCCCCUAACAAAAAAACUUUAAGGUCUCCAAAAAGAACAUAUGGAAGACCCCUCUGACAACUCCACCUAGACUGUACUAUCACCAUCCACUGGGCAAACCUGCAUGGGGCAAAAGGCCACAUGCUCACCUGCCUCCAGGAACCUGCACACACUGUGGACACUUUUGGAUUGAUUGCUGUAUUCUGCCUCGUCAAAGUAAAGUCAAUUUUCUCAAGCUCUUCCUCUACAGGAAAAAUUCCCAGACCUGAGUCUGACAACUGAAGGUUCACUGCUCUUUGUUGACAUCUGAAGGCCGACUACUGCUUCUGCAAUGAUCCACAUAAACCUCAAAUGACUGUUUACAUCUCUGUCAUUUUACUUACUACAAAAUUCAGUUAAAUUAUACUUCCUACCCAAAUUUAUCGUUCACAGGUCUCUGAUGACAUGGAUAGUUAACUGUGACUUUAACAGAAGCAAACACCCAGCUACCUGGUCAGUUCAUUUCAUAUGUAUAGUUUUCAUUGCUGACAGGGUUCACACUAAGAAAGAUUUGAGUUUCUGAAGGCUAUGAGAAACAUAGUAAGUUAUGUAAGUCAAGGAAAAUGAAUGACACAAGUGAUGCAGAUCUAAGAAAACGUGUUAAGGUCUGAAGAUAUGAAAGUUUAAGUAAGCCAUGAAGGUUUGAGAAAAUGAUUUAUGGGUCCGGUGAAGGGACCAGUCCCCUGUUUUAGCAGCCAUGACAGGCUAACAUGUUCCUGCCUGACCUUGCCCCUCCUGUCCUAGUCACUAGACAUCAGAAACCCUCCUCCUGGCAAGAAACCAAUCAGAAGUUAGCUGGUGGGACUGUGCUUUAAGGCUCUGGGUGUGCUUUAUGAUACAAGUGCAUAACAGUGACAUGCAGAGCAUAGCAACCAUCCUGGGAAGGCCUAUGGGCCUUAACAACCAGUUGACAAAUCAACACAGGACAGAUCACCCAAGCCUGGAAGAGCACCAAUCCUGAGACUGUUUCAUACCCCUAGACACUCCCCUUUGCUACCCGAUAUAUUCCCUGCCUUGUGGCUUCCAGGGUUCUUCUCCAAGCAUCCACCAUGAUAAAUGGAAGAAGGGCCCAAGCUAAUGGGGUUAGCUCAAUAAACAGCAACAAUAAGA